rnacentral:rRNA from 1 species
CCAACGCCCUUCGGGGCUCCUUGGUGAAUCAUAAUAACUUAACGAAUCGCAUGGCCUUGCGCCGGCGAUGGUUCAUUCAAAUUUCUGCCCUAUCAACUUUCGAUGGUAGGAUAGUGGCCUACCAUGGUGGCAACGGGUAACGGGGAAUUAGGGUUCGAUUCCGGAGAGGGAGCCUGAGAAACGGCUACCACAUCCAAGGAAGGCAGCAGGCGCGCAAAUUACCCAAUCCCGAUACGGGGAGGUAGUGACAAUAAAUACUGAUACGGGGCUCUUUUGGGUCUCGUAAUUGGAAUGAGAACAAUUUAAAUCCCUUAACGAGGAACAAUUGGAGGGCAAGUCUGGUGCCAGCAGCCGCGGUAAUUCCAGCUCCAAUAGCGUAUAUUAAMGUUSUUGCAGUUAAAAAGCUCGUAGUUGAACCUUGGGUCUGGCUGGCCGGUCCGCCUCACCGCGAGUACUGGUCCGGCUGGACUUUCCUUCUGGGGACCUCAUGGCCUUCACUGGCUGUGGGGGGAACAGGACUUUUACUGUGAAAAA